ensembl:snoRNA SNORA73 Small nucleolar RNA SNORA73 family
CCAACAUAAAUGUCCAGAAAGUUGAUUCUUCCAGUGUAAAUGGUAGCAUAGGGCUCUGCUCCAUAACAGAACAUCUUUUUACAUAAUGUUGGAGAGGAAGCUAAGCCUUGAGUAUGUGUCUGAAUAUUCCUACCACUUCUCAGGGUCCUAUGGAUAAUGACUAAGGAGAUAAGUCAUGCAGGAAACAACU